rnacentral:piRNA from 1 species
UCUAUAGGUCUUUUGGUCUCCUGGUGUGA